rnacentral:lncRNA from 1 species
GUGGUUUGGCAGUGAAAGUCUCCCAUGAGAUCUCCUGAGGCUGAGGUGGCAUGGAUCUUCAUUUGGAUUUCAGGAGACAUGAACAACAGCAGCUUGUGAAGACAACACUUCUGUGAAGGACAAACCCUUCACCCUAUUUCAGUGCUUCUUUGAGGCACAUCUAUGUUCCUGGCUGUGGAAGGAGCCAGUGGGGACAGGACCUUGGACAUAAACAAGGUUUCAAGCAGCCUGAACCAUCUGAGGUCCCUCCCUGAUUGUUUUUAGGACAAACCCCUACUGCAGGCACUGGAAAGAAUUUCAAAUAAGUGGCCAAAUAUCUCAGGAACUUGGUUCUGGUGCCCUGGAUCAACCAGCAGUGAUGGGAGCCCACUGGUAUGUGUGUGGAGGGGAGCAGAGACAGAAAGGAAGUAAUAUUGAGUCACAGCAGUCAAGAAGGAUCAAAGAUUGGCUAUUUUUGACACACAAAAGGAGCAUCCAUUUCACUGCUCCAAGCAGCAGAGAAGCUGUGGCACAUCUUAAUGCUACUGGGAAAAAUCAGCUCGUGAAGGUGUUGGCUUUCCUUCUGCUGCCAUGAUUGCUUUUAUUCCCAGAGGAAAGUCAUCCAAGUAGAAGAAGAGAAGCCUCAAAGCUUAAAGUGGAGCUGCUGAGAUAUUUGCUCUAUGUUUUGGGCUUUUUACAAAGUGGUCUGGAUCAAGGCUGGAAAUUGUGAUUGUUGUGUAAAAGCCUGAGAUUUCAGGGCAGUGCUGGUUUCUGGGCAUAUACUUGGGAGUGAGAAAUGCUAAGACUGUGCUUGCUGAACUUGAACCUCUUUUCAUUGGCAACAGAAAAUUUUGUCAGGUUGUUCCUCUCCACCUCAUGUGAAGACCAUCUACCUAUUAUAAUCACUUAAUAAAUAAACUUGCUCCCUAUCUCUGCUUGCCUGG